UAGUGAACUGCGAAGGAUCAUG
rnacentral:rRNA from 1 species